rnacentral:lncRNA from 1 species
UGUAGGCCGAGGCCGGGCGAGGCUUAAUUUGCUGUUAAUGAAUCUUUCCCAGAAAGUCCGCGAUCUUCAGCUAACUAGACGCUUGAAGAAAAGCUGCCAUCCAAGAAGACGACAUGCUUUCAGCAACCCCCCUGUAUGGGAACGUUCACAGCUGGAUGAACAGCGAGAGGGUCCGCAUGUGUGGAAUCAGUGACGACAGGUGAAUGCAUGGGUCUGGCUGAGGCCUGGGGAGCAUGCGGGUCCUUCCCUGGGGCUCCUAAGCAGAGCCCCCUUCACCUCCUCACAGCCAGAGUGGGCCCAAAGGGGGGUGGUGGGGGGAGAUCUCCUGCCUAGCUGGCAGCCUUGAUUUACAGUUUUAACAGGCAACCCGGCUCAGCGAAGCAUUGCCGCCCUUUAAGAGAUUAGCCCCUAAAGCGGCCUUUCAGUGCUCUUUCGUCCUUAAUUUAUUAUUUCAUAUUUAUGAAGGAGAAUUAAUCCCAGUCUAUAUGCUGCUUUAACUCUAAAUGUCAGGAGUGUGGGCCCAGGUGGAUCGGCAUUCGAUGUGCUUUUAAAACAAAUAGUUUGCUCAGUAAUAAAUGGGGCAAAAGCCACCCUUCA